rnacentral:misc_RNA from 1 species
GAUGAAGAACGUAGCAAAAUGCGAUAAGUAAUGUGAAUUGCAGAAUUCAGUGAAUCAACGAAUCUUUGAACGCACAUUGCGCCCGCCAGUAUUCUGGCGGGCAUGCCUGUUCGAGCGUCAUUUCAACCCUCAAGCACAGCUUGGUGUUGGGACUCGCGUUAAUUCGCGUUCCCCAAAUUGAUUGGCGGUCACGUCGAGCUUCCAUAGCGUAGUAGUAAAACCCUCGUUACUGGUAAUCGUCGCGGCCACGCCGUUAAACCCCAACUUCUGAAUGUUGACCUCGGAUCAGGUAGGAAUACCCGCUGAACUUAAGCAUAUCAAUAAGCGGAGGA